rnacentral:SRP_RNA from 1 species
GCCAGGCAUGGUGGUGCAUGCCUGUAGUCCCAGCUACUUGGGAGGCUGGGGUGGGAGGAUCGCCUGAGUCCAGGAGUUUUGGGCUGUUGUGUGCUAUGCCGAUUGGGUGUCCGCACUAAUUUCAGUGUCAAUAUGAUGACCUCCUGGGAGCGGGGGACUACUAGGUUGCCUAAGGAGGGGUGAACCGGUCCAGGUUGGAAAUGGGGCAGGUCAAAACUCCCAUGCUGAUCAGUAGUGGGAUCGCGCCUGUGAAUAGCCACUGCACUCCAGCCUGGGCAACAUAGAGACCCUGUCUCU